rnacentral:rRNA from 1 species
UACGGAGGGGGCUAGCGUUGUUCGGAAUUACUGGGCGUAAAGCGCACGUAGGCGGCUUUGUAAGUUAGAGGUGAAAGUCCAGGGCUUAACCCUGGAAUUGCCUUUAAGACUGCAUCGCUAGAAUCGUGGAGAGGUGAGUGGAAUUCCGAGUGUAGAGGUGAAAUUCGUAGAUAUUCGGAAGAACACCAGUGGCGAAGGCGACUCACUGGACACGUAUUGACGCUGAGGUGCGAAAGCGUGGGGAGCAAACAGG